rnacentral:rRNA from 1 species
UACGUAGGGGGCAAGCGUUAUCCGGAUUUACUGGGUGUAAAGGGAGCGUAGACGGCAUUGCAAGUCCGGAGUGAAAGCCCACGGCCCAACCGUGGGACUGCUCUGGAAACUGUAGAGCUGGAGUGCGGGAGGGGCAGGCGGAAUUCCUAGUGUAGCGGUGAAAUGCGUAGAUAUUAGGAGGAACACCGGCGGCGAGGGCGGCCUGCUGGACCGUAACUGGCGUUGAGGCUCGAAAGCGUGGGGAGCAAACAGG